rnacentral:rRNA from 1 species
GGAUAGUCCCCGAGGGGGAACUGAGACUGCCACACACCUACGGUGGCAGCAGUGGAUCUGCACAAUGGGGAAUCUGAUGCAGCGACGCGCGUGGAGGAAGAAGGGUCUAGCUCGUAAACUCUUUUCAGGGAAAGACUAGACGUACUGAGAUAGCUCGGCUAACUACGUGCCAGCAGCGCGUAAGACGUAGGGAGCGAGCGUUGUCCGGAUUUACUGGGCGUAAAGAGCACGUAGGCGGUCUGUUAAGUGAGAAGUGAAAUCUCCAGCGCUCAACGCGGAAACGGCUUUUCAUACUGGCAGACUUGAGGGAUGCAGAGGCAAGUAGAAUUCCUGGUGUACCGGUGACAUGGGUUGAUAUCAGGAGGAAUACCAAUGGCGAAGGCAGCUUGCUGGGCAUCAUCUGACGCUGAGGUGCGAAAGCGUGGGUAGCAAACAGGAUUAGAUACCCUGGUAGUCCACGCCCUAAACGAUGGAUACUAGGCGUAUGGGGUAUCGACCCCCCAUGUGCCGUAGCUAACGCAUUAAGUAUCCCGCCUGGGGAGUACGGCCGCAAGGUUGAAACUCAAAUGAAUUGACGGGGACCCGCACAAGCGGUGGAGCAUGUGGAUUAAUUCGAUACUAACCGAAGAACCUUACCUAGGC